GAUGAAGAACGCAGCGAAAUGCGAUAAGUAGUAUGAAUUGCAGAAUUCAGUGAAUCAUCGAAUCUUUGAACGCACAUUGCGCCCUUUGGUAUUCCAAAGGGCAUGCCUGUUCGAGCGUCAUUUGUACCCUCAAGCUUUGCUUGGUGUUGGGCGUCUUGUCUCUAGCUUUGCUGGAGACUCGCCUUAAAGUAAUUGGCAGCCGGCCUACUGGUUUCGGAGCGCAGCACAAGUCGCACUCUCUAUCAGCAAAGGUCUAGCAUCCAUUAAGCCUUUUUUUCAACUUUUGACCUCGGAUCAGGUAGGGAUACCCGCUGAACUUAAGCAUAUCAAUAAGCGGAGGA
rnacentral:misc_RNA from 1 species